GCUGAAUCCUUCCGGAAGGAGGUGCUUGCCUAUGACGUUGGGUAUGCCAAGAAUGACUCAAUUUGGAUGAUCAACUUGCAUGUUUUUUUGGAUCAAGAUCUUUUUGUGAGGAAGUGUCCACGAGAAGGCGGGACACCCUUAGCAGCUCAGCAGGCAGGAGGCUGCAGAACGACGUUUAUGGGGCCUGGCGACUCAGGCCGAGGAGCAGCAGAGACGUCCACAGAAGCACAGGUGUCACCUGCGAAGUAAUCGCCAGGUCCAGCUCCACCCGCCGGCAGCCCGCCCAGCGUCCAACCGCGCGUCUCUCACCCCGCCCAUCCUUCUCUCCCCGCUCCUGGCCCCGCCCCGCG